GGGGGAUUAGCUCAGCUGGCUAGAGCGCUACGCUGGCAGCGUAGAGGUCGCCGGUUCGACUCCGGCAUUCUCCA
rnacentral:tRNA from 1 species